GCUGGAAUCGCUAGUAAUCGCGAAUCAGAAUGUCGCGGUGAAUACGUUCCUGGGCCUUGUACACACCGCCCGUCAAGCCAUGGAAGCCGGGAGUGCCUGAAGUGCGUGAGCGCAAGCAGCGCCCUAAGGUAAAACCGGUGACUGGGGCUAAGUCGUAACAAGGUAAC
rnacentral:rRNA from 1 species